rnacentral:lncRNA from 1 species
GGUCUUAACUGAGUGAAGUUGUGUCAGACUCUUGAGCCACAGAAAUGCAAGGUCUUACAUUUUACGUUGUUUUAAGCCACUACGUUUUUGGUAAUUUGUUAUGACUGCCUAGAAUCCUAAUAUACCACCAAAAUGUGUGGCAAAAAUAAUUAUUCUAUUGACAUUUAAGAAAGGGAUGGGAAGGAUACAAUUUUUAGGAAAGAGUUCUACUGAAGUGAAAUUUGAACUAGCUUUGAAGGACUCCGGAAUAUGAACAGGGUUUAGGAGGAAAUAGUCAUUCCUUCCAAGCAAAGUUCACAGAGAAGAAUCUGAGGAGAGGCCUCUGACUAAAGCAGAAGGCUUGUGUGGGGAAGGAGUUGGAAUGAACUCUGGAUUAGAAAUGUGUUCUGGAGGGCUUUGCCUACAACAUGAGAAAUUUGAGCUAUCGGAGGAAAUUCUUAUUUCAGCUCACCCCUAUAGAGAAGCUAUAUGAGUUUAUCUGCUUGCUGCCUAACAUGCACUGACAUCAUUGCAUCUUGCUGCCUUCUCACACGCCUCUUCAGCAACAUCAAGGACAACAACCAACAAAAAGAAUUCACAUUUAUUGAGUGAUGACUGAAUACUAUGCACUAUACUAGGAACUGUAUUCAUGUUAUAUACUAAAUCCUCAAAUCCUGUUUUUAAAUGAAUUCAUUGAGGCUUAGAGAGAUUCAGUUAACUCACAUUAGGACACAGAACUACCAGGGACAAAUCCAGUGUUCAAAUCUAGAGCCCAGAGUCCCAGCUGUUUUAUGCAAGGCCAUCUAUGAACAUCAGAUUUGCAUUUCAUUUUUCUUGCCUGGAGAAUAUUUUAUUCACGUGUGUUUUAUUAGGCAUCUCUAGAUACAAUAAAGAUUAUGCAUGCUGACAUAUGUAUAAUCAACUGUUUUAAAAAUGAAACUGAAAAAUAGAUCCAGUCAUUCAGACCAGAGAGAGGCUUAUAAUGACCACAGCAUGAUUCAUCCAAAAAUUGUUAAUACGUUAUGGCCAAAAACUCCAGCUGGUUACAAAAAUGAUUCAAGGAUCAAAUAUAAACCUAAGCAAAUUUGCAUCUGAGUCUAAAAAAACACCUGGCGUUUAUGCAACUAUAGAGACUACUAUCCCCACAGUUUUAUCUGUAGUGAAGUGCAGCUGGGACCCCAGCGUUGAAUAGGUUAAUAGAAUUGCUUUUGUUUUAUUCCGUUGAAAUAUCUCUCUUUGCUCCCAUCAUUCUCCAUAGAUUGUCAUGACCGGAGGUAAACUGAACAUCUGAAAAGGACCUAAUUAACAUUGUGCGCAAGUGAAAGAAUAAAUGAAUAAAUGAAUAAAAGAAUGAAUGAGUACGGAUGCUGAGAACUGAGAUGUGGCAUUUCCAUACUGGCAGAAGCUCCGAAAGAAACAGUCAUCACUUCCUGUCCUACUGCACGCAAUGUGUUAGGCAGUGCUUUGCUGAAAUCCAGAAUAUAAAGUUAAACUUUAUGAGUUAAAAGUUUGAACUUUUGAGCGAGAUGUAAUUAAGCACAAAUUAGUUUGUAGAAUCCUAAAUGUCAGUGCAUCUAAACAAAGUACAUCUAUGUUUAUUUGAAAGCAAAAAACGAUGACACAUUUUUAGAGAAUUAAAAUAAACUGAUCAUUGAAAUUGAAUUAAUUUUUAAUGGUAAAAUUAAUUUGAGUGAAGUAGAAAGAAUGCGGCUCAUAAUGUUUUAUUGAUGAUGCAUAAAAAUGAUCACAAGUCA